CAAGAAAUGAAACGAUUCCAAAACAAAUAUACCCCAUCUGGCAUAAUCAAACUGUAAUCCAUAUACAAUACUCAACCAUGUAAAGCUACGCUAACCCAUACAACGGAGCACUAAAUGAAGAAUUAAUACACCAAGCUAUAGAUAAAAGAUAAAAAAUCACAUUAACAAUCAGAAAAUUCAACUAUGCAACACGUUAACUCAAUACCUCGAUACUGAUCAAAUAAGGAACAAAAGCCAGCCAGAGCUAAUUUAAUAAUCGAACCUGCUCAAGCACAGCCUCAGUGAGCA
rnacentral:misc_RNA from 1 species